rnacentral:rRNA from 1 species
UACGGAAGGCAGCAGGGGGGAAUAUUGCACAAUGGGCGCAAGCCUGAUGCAGCCAUGCCGCGUGUAUGAAGAAGGCCUUCGGGUUGUAAAGUACUUUCAGUCGUGAGGAAGGUGUUAAGGUUAAUAACCUUAGCAAUUGACGUUAGCGACAGAAGAAGCACCGGCUAACUCCGUGCCAGCAGCCGCGGUAAUACGGAGGGUGCGAGCGUUAAUCGGAAUUACUGGGCGUAAAGGGCACGCAGGCGGUUAAUUAAGUUGGAUGUGAAAUCCCCGGGCUUAACCUGGGAAUGGCAUUCAAGACUGGUUAGCUAGAGUCUUGUAGAGGGGGUAGAAUUCCAUGUGUAGCGGUGAAAUGCGUAGAGAUGUGGAGGAAUACCGGUGGCGAAGGGCGGGCCCCUGGGACAAAGACUGACGCUCAUGUGCGAAAGCGUGGGGAGCAAACAGGGAUUAGAUACC